rnacentral:lncRNA from 1 species
CUCCUUGACUGCUUUCUGUCUCUCCUGGCAUCUUGGUUUUGGCAGGUCUACAACAUCACGUGGGGAGCCAUCUGCCUUGUGUGCUUGUCUCCUAGAAGAAAACGUGGUUCUCCUGAUAUGUUGUUGAUUGCACUGGAGUCUCCUGGGUUCCUCAAGAGAGGAAGUGAACAUACUCAAAACAGAAACUCACCGUCCCUGCCACCAGCCAGAGCAUGCUGUCUGUGGAAUUCAUGCAAUCUGCCCUCUCACUUACAAAGAAGACCCCUUCUAGUCAACAGCUGGUGUUUGAACACAUUCACUGUCGGACAAUCAAGAGCCACUCCAGAAGUCUACUUGACCUCGAAAAUUUAAAAUCUGGCUGAGGCACCUACAGACCAUACAGAUGACAACUAGCAAGAAUGGGCUUCUGGACAUCGUAUCACUACAUAUUGAUGUGUGCACUUGUGAAUCCAGCCGCCUAAAUGACAGAAUUGGGUUGGCUCUGUUUAAUCCCAUCAAAUACUUAUAAGCUCUUAUGAUGAGGAGGAAAGGAAAAUAUUGCUGGACAAUGACAGUGGUAAUAAAUGUGUGGUUAUGAAAAUGUGGAGAAAUUACUAUAGACAAGUUCAAUUUAUCCAGAAGGAGGACACAAUGGGGAAUUUUGCCUGUCUAGAAUAAUUUCUGGGCUUUUCAUAUGACCCUUUAAACAAAAAGGAAGGGGGAAGAGCCUUCUUAUUUUAUGUUUUAUGUUAGAGGUCAUCAUUUCAGAUGCUGAAGAACAAUUCAGCGGCAAACAACACUGAGAAAGAUGUAUUUUAAGAAAUUCAGACCAUCUUUAUUUUGGAAGAAAAACUAUAAGCAGGUUAAAUUUAAUCCAAAUUCCCAAUUGAUAAAAUAAUUUCAAGUAUUUUAUCUGGCAUAGAGUUUGAGGGGUAGGUGUUGGGGAAGAGCAGUGGUUGCACUCACAGCAUUUCCUCUGUAUGCCUUCUCUUCUCUACUCAUGGGCUAGAGGUGCUGGCAUGGGUGAAGAUGCAAAUAGCAGAACCCAGGGACAGGAUAACUGAAGACAAUGGUAGAGGAGAGAAGAGAAAGGAGCUGGUGACGGGGUUGAGGAGACAGAAAACAAUAUGGGGAAAAAAAUCCUCAUAGAAUAAGACCUUGGAGAGAGACAGGAAAACAAAACAUCCUCUAAGAUUUAGUAUAUGAUGUGCUGUGUAACCUCAAGGGACUGCCAGGAAAGAUUUGCCUCCCUUAACAGCUGGCUUUCAGACAGAUUUGUGUCUGUGGUGGGUAGAGCAGCAAGGUGAAUGGGCUGUUGCGGCUGCACACGGGUUUACAUUUCAGGAUGAAGGGGCUUUGAUCUUUUGCCUGUGCAUAUUGUAGCAGAAAGGCACAUUUUGAGGAUAUAAGGGCACACACUCUUGAAGGCAAGAGUCAGUUUGGGAAUUUUGGCAGGGUUGCCAGAUGUAGCAAAUAAAAAGAAUGGCUAUAUUUGAAUUUCAGAUAAAGAACAAAUAAUUUUUAGCAUAAUAAUGUCUAAUGUUGUCUGGGACAUACAAAUACUCAAAACUUUGUUCUUUAUCUGAAAUUCAAAUUUAGCCAGACAUCCUACAUUUUUUACCGGCUGAAUUCAACAAUCUUACUUUAGGGUGGACUCAAAAAUAGGUGGAGUGAGGGGCAGAAGAGAUGGGCAUUAUCUCCUCUGUACUGCAAUCAGAACUUAAUUCUGGGAGUGUUACCAAUACUCUCUCUGGUUUUAAAAAAAAUCAUAUUUUUAUUCGGGAAUAUGAAUGUUUGUUUACUAAUUACUAGAUGUCGGGUAAAAGAAGUAGCAAGAUAAUAUGAAAUGAUGAAAGCUAGCAUGCAUAUAAUUUGGGAGAAUAAAAUUUAUUUCUUUAAAAGGUGAUUUAAUACAGUUUAUCACCAAGAGUCAUAAAAGUACCAAAUGACUUGCUAAUUUAUAUAAAGAAGAAAUUCUAGGAUGUGUCUUUGUGAAUUUUCCUAAGAAUACAUCUGUAUUUACUGAAUUUUC